UACGAAGGGGGCUAGCGUUGCUCGGAAUCACUGGGCGUAAAGCGCACGUAGGCGGAUUGCUAAGUCAGGGGUGAAAUCCUGGAGCUCAACUCCAGAACUGCCUUUGAUACUGGCAACCUUGAGUCCGGGAGAGGUGAGUGGAACUGCGAGUGUAGAGGUGAAAUUCGUAGAUAUUCGCAAGAACACCAGUGGCGAUGGCGGCUCACUGGCCCGGAACUGACGCUGAGACGCGAAAGCGUGGGGAGCAAACAGG
rnacentral:rRNA from 1 species